rnacentral:misc_RNA from 1 species
GAUGAAGAACGUAGCGAAAUGCGAUAAGUAGUGUGAAUUGCAGAAUUCAGUGAAUCAUCGAAUCUUUGAACGCACAUUGCGGCCAUAGGUAUUCCUUUGGCCAUGCCUGUUCGAGCGUCAUUUACACCCUCAAGCCUAGCUUGGUGUUGGGCGCCUGUCCCGCCGUUUUCGCGCGCGGACUCGCCUCAAAGUCAUUGGCGGCGGUCGUGCCGGCCCCCUCGCGCAGCACAUUUGCGCUUCUCGGAGGCCCGGCGGAUCCGCGCUCCAGCAAGACCUUUCACGACUUGACCUCGGAUCAGGUAGGGAUACCCGCUGAACUUAAGCAUAUCAAUAAGCGGAGA